UUCCUCUCACCCUCGCAUUGUUGUGCAUUUCUCUCGCUCCCUCCUCGGGUUCCGCUCCUGCUCAUUGCCUCCGGAACAAAUCCCGCUAAUUCUUCUUCUCCACCCUAUCUCGUCGCUCCUCCUUCGCCAGCCGACUCCUGCCCCUCUGCGUCCACACGCUGCCGCCUCCUGGCCCCCUACGCCUAGCCGCCCUUUGUCAGCCUCCUCUGACGAAACUGCGCCGCACGCACUCCCACCGAAACCACGCCGCCCCGCCGUAUCACCAUCCGGCGUGUGAAUCCAGGAGCCGCCAUCCCACCGAAGCCACACUGCCGUGUCAUCAUUGUCAGGAAAGGUAAUGAGCAGUGACCACCCGCCCCCAACUACCCUGGAAACUUGGAAAGCAACUAUUUCCAGGAAUGAAGACGACCUGGACGGCGGCGGCGAAGGAGAUUGGUGCGGCAGGCUCCGUCCAGUUCCCGUGCCGUUUGCUCCCUUGAAUAUCCCGCCGCCUCCAGCCCGUCCACAACCACCGUGUGGGAGGUUGCCCGUGCGGGCACCGCAACUGCCGUCACCUUCGGCCGCGUCCACGACCAGAGUUCUUCACAAAUUUGCGCCUCACUCCUUCGUAAUCUUCCUUGCUAUUGAAGAGUAUAUGUAAAUAAAUCUAGGACAGCUUUUUUUUUAUGUAAUCCAAGGCUAUGGAACUCACCUUGGUUUGUGCUAAAUUUUUCUGCAUUUGUCUCUCUACGUUUACUUAUGUAUGCCUAACUCUAGCAUCAACUCAAACAGUGAGCUCAUGUACGCCAAUUUGCCUUUCACCAUUAUACCAACCGAGGUGUUAUUGAUUUGUGGUUUGUAACCUCAAGGCUGUGCUAUUCGUAUCUGUUGCAGAGCAAUAUGACAAAGAAAACAUAUGGCAGGUUUUCUUCAAAGGCUUUGAGCGUGUUUUCCAAGCCAGAGCAUGUUGAGCAAACGAAGAAAAAAUGGCUUGCAUGGUUAUGAAGGACUGGUUUACUGCAGGAUAUGGUAAACAAGGUGGUUCUUUUGAGAAUUGCUGGCUUGAGGAUUUAUAUUCAUACAUUAUCUCAUAAACAAGUAAUAUGCUGGUCAAUAUUUCUGCAAUUUUGCAUCCCUGGUGAGGAUUACUGCCUGCAAAAUGGUGAGUUGACUCAUAUGCAUGUUUCUACAUUUUCACCUCCCACUAUAAGGAUUAAUGCCUGUACAAUUGGUGCCAAGUCUGCUUAGACGUAUGCUGUAAGAUUCCUGUACCACAGAAACUAUUGAUACCGAAUGUUCGUAGGAUCUCCACUUUGCAUGGCCUUAUUUUCUAUGUCUGAGUUCGAGCUUUUUUUAUCUCAAAAUACUUUUCGUGCGACUUAUCUGAUGUUCAAAUGAUAAGGUGUCAAUAUAAACUAGACAAAUGCCACUGUGGUGCAAGCGCCAAUAUGAAUGAUGAGUUUAUUUAUGUUCUAAUGCAGUUAGCAUAUGAAAAGACAACCUUGCUUUAAUGCGUGGAAAUCAUUGGGAUUGAUAUGGGUAUAUUGAUCAUUUGAAUUGUUUCCAUGAACCAAUUUUGUGUAUGAAUAUUACUGGCUGCCCAAUUUCAGUGUUUCCUUUUUUUCUAUGCAGGUACUUCAUAAGUUUUCAUCAUAGGAUGUGACUGUAUAACUUCACUUUUCUCUUUUUGUAUGUGCCCAAUUAGGGCUCCAGGCUUGAUAUGUUGCUUGGCUAUUGAUUUCGGUUAGGUUUGGAGUUCUACUUUUGACAUGUUAGAAGUAUAUAUACUGAGAAUGUGGCACUGUUUAUUUUUUUCUUUCAAUGUUGGUUAUAAAUAUUGGUGGUUUCAUUUGGUUA